GGGUGUGUGACUUAUGUAGUGUGUGUGUCUUAGGUUAGAAAGAGGAUAGGGGUCAGUGGGUGGAAUUGGAGAUUGGGGCCUGACAGUGGAACAGUGCAUGGAAGGAUAGAUAUGUGUCAUGUGUUUUGAGGAGUAUAAGGGCCAUGGGUUCCCAAAGAUAGUGCACACCUAGUAAAGAGAUGAGCCCUGAUUAGGAAUGCCCUUCAUGGAAUCUGGAGCUGCAGAACUGGGAUGCUAGUACUGAUUCUGCCAGUAACUUGUUCUCCGUCACAUCCCCUUUCUGGGCCUCAAUUUCACCAUCUAUAAAAAAUAAGGUUCUUAAAAAGGUACAAGCUCCUAAGACUUACCCAGGAAGAAAUAGAAGAUAUAAGCAGAUCAAUUACCAGUACUGAAAUUGAAUCAGCAAUUUUUUUUUUUUUUUAGGGCCGCACCAGUGGCAUAUGGAGGUUCCCAGGCUAGAGGUUGAAUUGGAGCUGUAGCCGCUGGCCUGUGCCACAGCCACAGCCAUACAGAUCCAAGCUGCAUUUGUGACCUACACCACAGCUCAUGGCAACUCAGGAUCCUUAACCCACUGAGCCAGGGAUGGAACUUGUGUACUUACGGUUACUGGUCGUAUUCGUUUCCACUGAGCCAUGACAGGAUAUCUGCAUCAGUAAUUUUUAAACUCCCAACAAUCAAAAGUCCAGNGACCAGAGAGCUUUACAGGCAAACUCUACCAAACAUUUAGAGAAGAGUUAACACCUAUCCUGAAACUUCCAAAAGACUGCAGAGGAAGGAACACUUCUGAACUCAUUCUGUGAGGCCACCAUCACCCUGACACCAAACCAAGUUACCACAAAAAAAGAAAAUUACAGGCCAGUCUCAUUGAUGAACACAUGAUCCCCUAAAAUUUCAUGUAGUUUGAUGUCAGAAGCUGCAAAGUUAAGGCUAAUCUGAUUGUGCUUCAGUGAUAGAGUUCUCUGACCUUCAGUCUUCUCAUUUAUGGAAUGACUGUAGUUCUCACAUUUUAUGAUUCUUUGAAACCUCUCAAAACUUACCAGUGUCAUUUCCGUUACUUCCUCUGGGUCUGCACCUGUUCUGACUUUGAUUUUUGUUUGUUUAUUUGUUAGUUUUGGGCACACCUCAGCAUGUGGAAGUUCCCAGAGCAGGGAUCAAACCCAUGUCAUAGCUGCAACCUGCACCAUAGCUGCAGCAACGCCAGAUCCUUAACUGGAUGCACAAGGGAACUUCAUUGUUUUGUUGUUUUAAUUUUAAUGAGCCACUAUUCAUUCAGUAUCUUCUACAUGCCAGAACUUUUUUUAUGACAUGCAGAAGUUCCUGGGACAGGGAUCGAACUCAAGCAACAGCUGUAACCAGAGCCGCAGCAGUGACAACACCAGAUCCUUAACCCAUGAACCAUGAGGGAAUUCCCAGAACUUUUGUUUUGUUUUGUCAUUUUGCCAUUUCUUGG
rnacentral:lncRNA from 1 species